GAGGUAAUAUGGCGGAACAGGACAAACAAGGUUCAGAGCUCUGCUUGACCACCACAAAGCUCAGUGGCUGACCUUGGGGCACUUACUCCUAUAGGAAAAAUGAAUAAAUGGUCCAAGGUGGUCCAUGAAGUACUUGAAAAUGCAGUGGCAGGACAUUCUUUAGAGUGGAUAAGGUGAGCAACUUAGUGAUGGAAUCAUUCUUGGAAACCACAUUGGAUGCUCUACAGGUUACCUGCCAGUAGGAAUAUGAACGGAAGGCUUUUUCAGGUGGUGUGAGUAUGGAAACACAAUGGAUUUUCCAGAUUCAACCUCUGGAUUCUGUUCUGGUUGCUCUUUGCUGUUUCCCCAAUGCAGUUACCUCUAUGCUAUUUCCUCAGUCUCGGGAAAUGAAUACAAACUGAAAAUUUCAGGCUCCAAAAUAUUUGCAACUUUCUGAAGGUUAAAAAGAAAAUCUGUGCAAAUUGCAGCCCAUUUCAAAAGUGAAAUACAUCAUAUUUUGUAUACACAACCUGGAGAUGAAGAGAGUGCCAUCUUAUUUACCGAAGUCAUGUAAAAAUAAGAAAAAAUAUAACUGAAAAUAAUAAUUAAAAUGUGUCUAUGUGGUGUAUGUAAAUCACAUAAUCCUAACAGAAAACCAUACUGCCAAUGCUAGACUAGGUGAAAUUCACAAUGAUAAGUUUUUUAUGAAGUGGAAAAUCUGCGAGGUAAGAACAAAUCAGUGGGGACAAAACGGACAAUGACACCCACUUCCAUUUCAAUAAAAUAUUAAAUUCAGCUUGCAUUCCUUUACAGAAAUGUAGAGAAUCAGUCUCCAUGUGCACAAAAAAACCAAACUGCAUGAAAAACCAU